AGAAGUAAAAGUCGUAACAAGGUCUCCGUUGGUGAACCAGCGGAGGGAUCAUUACCGAGUUUACAACUCCCAAACCCAAUGUGAACCAUACCAAACUGUUGCCUCGGCGGGGUCACGCCCCGGGUGCGUCGCAGCCCCGGAACCAGGCGCCCGCCGGAGGGACCAACCAAACUCUUUCUGUAGUCCCCUCGCGGACGUUAUUUUUACAGCUCUGAGCAAAAAUUCAAAAUGAAUCAAAACUUUCAACAACGGAUCUCUUGGUUCUG
rnacentral:misc_RNA from 1 species